AAUAAUAUAAAAGCUCUUCAUUAAUAAAAACUCUUCAUUAAUCCAAAGCAUUAUGUCCAACAAUCAAAUAAUGUGGCUAGUGUUAGGAAGCAUUAGUAUUAGUCUAGGAGUCCUUAUUAGUAUUAGUAUUAGUCUAGGAGUCCUUAUUAGUCUAUGUUUACUUUCCUUGCACCUCAAGUCAUGUGUAAUAUAUAUAUGCCCCUUGGGCCUUCAAUAUAGACAAGUUGCUUAUUCCUAACAUGGUAUUAGAGCUAGGUCAAUUUUCUGCACGCUGCAACUCGUGCGAUUGAUCCGUCUCUCUGCUCCCGAUCGAGUUCGUCCUCGAUCUCCUUCUCCCGCCCCGAUCGAAGCCGCUGCCUCGGUCUCCCGUCCCGCUCGAGCGCAUCCUCCCGAUUGGAUCGAUCCUGCUGCAGAUCCCUCCCGUCCCAAUCGGAUCGCGUCCUGCCCGUCCCGCUCUGAUCGAGGCCACCGCCAGCCGCCCCCGUUCCGCUCGUCCUCCCAGCCGGAUCGGUGCAGUCAACCGUGGAUCCCACCUGCUGUUGGUUUCCACCGCUCCCACCUGUUGCCGUCUACUACUGCUAGAUCCAGCCUCUCGAUCCUGGUUUUUGUUAGUACAGCCGAUCUGUUACUACACCGGGAUCCAGUCUCCGUCCUCCCAGCCGACCACGAGGUCAACGCGGCUCCUAUUACUACACAGGAUCUGUUACUAAGGGCGGCUCCAGAUCAACGCGGCCCCUGACGCAGCUGCGGAUCCAGAUCGACGUGGCUCCUGACGCGGCUGUGGUUUGUUGACUGCGUUUCUCAAAAAAAAAAUGAUGCAUCCGGCUACGUUGUUGUUCCUCGUUGUCCAGUGAUCUUUGAUGGCACUAACUACACCGAGUUCAUUGGCUUCAUGCACAUUCACAUGCGUGGCAUCCGUCUAUGGGGUUUUCUUUCUGGCGAGGUCUGUUGUCCGCCAUGUCCGGUUCCUCCCGUGGCUCCCACUCCGCCGACCCCACCGGCUCUUCCUGCGGAUGCUUCUCAGACCGCAAAGGAUUCGGCUAAACUUGCUGAUGAGGCCGCUGUGAGUGCUUAUGAUGAGAAGGUCUUGGCUUAUGAGGAGGCUCUUCACGUAUAUCGUGGUGCUCUGACCGUUUACACCCAGUGGCUUGAUGAUGAUGCCCGUGCUGCAGCUGUUCUCACUGCUAGUGUUCUGCCUCAGUUUGCCUCUGAGUUUUUGGGCCUUCCUACUGCCUUUGAGAUGUGGACUCGCCUUCGUCAGCGCUAUGCGCCCUCUGGUGAUGCCUUAUACCUAUCCGUGGUUCGUCAGGAGCAUGCUCUUCAGCAGGGUGACUCUACUGUUGAUGACUUCUAUGCACAGAGUUCUGCUAUCUGGCGCCAGCUCGAUUCUCUCCGCACUGCUGGUUGUCGUAUUUGCCCCUGUUGCCAGGCUAUCCAGACCAACUUGGAGUUUCAUCGCGUCUACGAGUUCCUAUCUCGGCACCGUAAGGAGUUUGAGCCUCGACGUGCUCAGUUGUUUGCUCGUGGUCGUAUUUCUCUCAUGGAGGCGCUUUCUGAGAUUCGUGCUGAGGAGACUCGCUUACGUGGUGCUGGUUUGCUGGAGGUUCCCUCGGUGCUCGCUGCUCGGGCUACUUCUACGCCCCCUGCUGCACCGACCCCUUCUCACUCGAGUGCUCCGCCGCUCUUGCCCACUCCUUCUGGAGGCUCAGGUCGCCCCCGUCCACAUUGUGGCUACUGCAACAAUGAUGGUCAUAUUGAGUCCCACUGCUACACGAAGAAGAACCACUUGCGCCAGGCGCAAUCAUCAUCUACAGAGACUUCGUCAUCUACCUCAACAGCUUCAGCCAUCGCUUUGACUGAGCAGGAUAUUCUACGACUUAAGCGUCUGCUCGCUGCUUCAGGUUCUUCCUCGACGGGUACUGCUGGUAUUCUGACUCAGGCUUCCCGCACUGAGCAACCACCUCCUACACAGUUAGGACCGUCUCACGCACACUCUGGUUGGAAUUGGCCUUCGCCGCCAUGAUCUUAUUUUUUCUCUUCCGCUGCCAUCAUCCCUAAUCUAGUGUGUGUUUUCUAGUUUUCUUUGUUUUCCGCUGCGUCCACCAAAUCCGUUGAUAUUUUGUGUUUUCUCAUGCCAUGCGAGUCCAGCAUACCUUAGUCCGUCAGCCUUUUUCCGGUCCUAAUCCUUUCUAUGCAACUUUUGUGGCCUACUUGCCCUUGUUGUUUUCUAUAGGAUUUUUUGGACUUCUUUUGCAUUGUCGAUCUACGUCCAUGUGCCUUAGCCGCCGAGCUUCUUUCGCCGUCGGUUGUCGUGGACUAUGAUUUUCUGCACAAUGCUUUAUUCUCUUGAUGUGCCAUCUUCUUUUGACAACCCAUCUUCUCUUGAUACUUAUGUUGUAUCUUCAAGUGAUGCGGUGUCUUCCUCUGAUGUGCCAUCUCUUCGGUAUCUUCCUCUUGAUGUGCCAUCUUCUUUUGACAACCCAUCUUCUCUUGAUACUUAUCUUGUAUCUUCAAGUGAUGCGGUGUCUACCUAUGAUGUGCCAUCUCUUCGUUAUCUCCUUCGGCGACUCGACAAGUUUUGAAGACUCUUCAUGCUACGACGACACUCUCAAGACGCGGAUUUGGAUUAUCAUUUUUUUUAGUAUUACACUUCUUCAAAUGCAAUGCUAUUGCAUACGCUUUGCAUUUGAGGGGGGGGGUGUUAGGAAGUAUUAGUAUUAGCCUAGGAGUCCUUAUUAGUAUUAGUAUUAGUCUAGGAGUCCUUAUUAGUCUAUGUUUACUUUCCUUGCACCUCAAGUCAUGUGUAAUAUAUAUAUGCCCCUUGGGCCUUCAAUAUAGACAAGUUGCUUAUUCCUAACAGCUAGAACUGCCGACGCAUUGAGCUACCAAGAAGUGAUUACAAGUUUUCAUAUGCUAUGACUACGAGUCUACAAGGUAUCAUUUGCAGGAAAAAGAUAAUACAUUAGAGUAAUA
rnacentral:lncRNA from 1 species